GGCUCAGUGGUUAAGAGCACUUGGGCUGCUCUUCCAGAAGAUCUGGGUUCAAUUCCCAG
rnacentral:tRNA from 1 species